UCCGAGUUGACCCCGGCAGUCUCCUAUGAGUUCCCACCAUUACGUGCUGGCAACAUAGAACGAGGGUUGCGCUCGUUGCGGGACUUAACCCAACAUCUCACGACACGAGCUGACGACAACCAUGCACCACCUGUGCACCGACCCAAAGGGGGCGACCAUCUCUGGCCGUUUCCAGUGCAUGUCAAGCCUUGGUAAGGUUCUUCGCGUUGCAUCGAAUUAAUCCGCAUGCUCCGCCGCUUGUGCGGGCCCCCGUCAAUUCCUUUGAGUUUUAGCCUUGCGGCCGUACUCCCCAGGCGGGGCGCUUAAUGCGUUAGCUACGACACGGAAACCGUGGAAAGGUCCCCACAUCUAGCGCCCAACGUUUACGGCGUGGACUAC
rnacentral:misc_RNA from 1 species